rnacentral:rRNA from 1 species
UACGGGGGGGGCAAGCGUUGUUCGGAAUCACUGGGCGUAAAGCGCACGUAGGCGGGUGUGUCAGUCAGGGGUGAAAUCCCGGAGCUCAACUUCGGAACUGCCUUUGAUACAGCACAUCUGGAGUCCGGAAGAGGUGGGUGGAAUUCCUAGUGUAGAGGUGAAAUUCGUAGAUAUUAGGAAGAACACCGGUGGCGAAGGCGGCCCACUGGUCCGGUACUGACGCUGAGGUGCGAAAGCGUGGGGAGCGAACAGG